rnacentral:rRNA from 1 species
AGUGAACGCUGGCGGUAGGCCUAACACAUGCAAGUCGAACGGCAGCACAGUAAGAGCUUGCUCUUACGGGUGGCGAGUGGCGGACGGGUGAGGAAUACAUCGGAAUCUACUUUUUCGUGGGGGAUAACGUAGGGAAACUUACGCUAAUACCGCAUACGACCUACGGGUGAAAGCAGGGGAUCUUCGGACCUUGCGCGAUUGAAUGAGCCGAUGUCGGAUUAGCUAGUUGGCGGGGUAAAGGCCCACCAAGGCGACGAUCCGUAGCUGGUCUGGGCGGAUGAUCAGCCACACUGGAACUGGGCCACGGUCCAGACUCCUACGGUAGGCAGCAGUGGGGUAUAUUGGACAAUGGGCGCAAGCCUUAUCCAGCCAUACCGCGUGGGUGAAGAAGGCCUUCGGGUUGUAAAGCCCUUUUGUUGGGAAAGAAAAGCAGCAGGUUAAUACCCCGCUGUUCUGACGGUACCCAAAGAAUAAGCACCGGCUAACUUCGUG